rnacentral:rRNA from 1 species
CCUACGGGAGGCUGCAGUGAGGAAUAUUGGUCAAUGGUCGGGAGACUGAACCAGCCAAGCCGCGUGAGGGAUGAAGGUACAGAGUAUCGUAAACCUCUUUUGACAGGGAACAAAGGCGGGGACGUGUCCCCGGAUGAGUGUACCUGAAGAAAAAGCAUCGGCUAACUCCGUGCCAGCAGCCGCGGUAAUACGGAGGAUGCGAGCGUUAUCCGGAUUUAUGGGGUUUAAAGGGUGCGCAGGCGGUCUGUUAAGUAAGCGGUCAAAGCCCGGGGCUCAACCCCGGCCCGCCGUUGAAACUGGCAGUCUCGAGUUGGAGAGAAGUAUGCGGAAUGCGCGGUGUAGCGGUGAAAUGCAUAGAUAUCGCGCAGAACUCCGAUUGCGAAGGCAGCAUGCCGGCUCCACACUGACGCUGAGGCACGAAAGCGUGGGUAUCGAACAGGAUUAGAUACCCCUGUAGUC